UGCUAUGUUGUAGGAGAUGGUCACAUGACU
rnacentral:piRNA from 1 species